rnacentral:rRNA from 1 species
UACGUAGGGGGGGCGAGCGUUAUCCAGAUUUACUGGGCGUAAAGCGCGUGUAGGCGGCUGGUUAGGUGUGAUGUGAAAUCCCUCGGGCUCAACCCGAGAACUGCAUUGCAAACCGGCCUGGCUAGAGUGCAGGAGAGGGAAGCGGAAUUCCAGGGUGUAGCGGGUGAAAUGCGUAGAUAUCUGGAGGAACACCGGUGGCGAA